rnacentral:rRNA from 1 species
UACGUAGGGUGCAAGCGUUAAUCGGAAUUACUGGGCGUAAAGCGUGCGCAGGCGGUUUUGCAAGACAGAUGGGAAAUCCCCGGGCUCAACCUGGGAACUGCAUUUGUGACUGCAAGGCUAGAAUCUGGCAGAGGGGGGUAGAAUUCCACGUGUAGCAGUGAAAUGCGUAGAUAUGUGGAGGAAUACCGAUGGCGAAGGCAGCCCCCUGGGCUAAGAUUGACGCUCAUGCACGAAAGCGUGGGGAGCAAACAGG